rnacentral:rRNA from 1 species
GCGCCGAUGGUAGUGUGCAUCCGCAUGCGAGAGUAGGUCACUGCCAGGG